AGUGACUCGCGUGGCUGCCUGCGGCAUCGGAUUCUGCCGCUGCUGCCGCCGCUGUCGGCCAAGCCUGGCGCGCGCAACAAACGCGACCUUGGAGCGCCAACAUCCGCUCGCAACACGAGGUCCCCCAGCAGGCAGGUUCCUUUCGCCGCGCGAUCAUCGCUUCCUUCGCGGCGAGAGCAGCUGCUAACUGCAGCCGAUGAUGGCCGUACACUCUGUGCCAUCUGCCAACUUUGAUAGGUCAACGGGCGCCGAGAAAGAGGAGAGGAAUAACGAUAGAGCCGUGCGAAUGGCCUGAAACGCCAUUGGAGCAGUUACGAAGGCGCAAGUACUUUGGAACACGCAAGACUAGCGAAGAUCGGGACACUUCGCUGCACUGUGGCGCAGCGGGCGAGCAGCGAUGCCACCAUUCUCCGCUGAUGUGUGCGGACGGGUACCGUCGCGAGAGUGUGCUGUCGAAAGGACGGAAGCUGUCAUUGGCAACGAGAUGGCUAUGACGUGCAAGAAGCUGUUUUUCGAAGAGACAGCGCUUGUGACCUUUCGGCGAAGUGCCAAGCACCGCACGACGUAAACUUACAGAGCGCCAACCCAUGUGCAUUGGUGGAAAGCAAGGCCAAAGGGAGUCAACUAUGCUCUGGACUAUUUUUUUUUUUUUUUCAGUUAUUAAAGACAUUUUUGAUUGUGGC